CAAGCUUAAGUUUCUCUCUUACGAUUUUUCCAUGUGGCUACUUAAUUUUAAAAAUACACUUUUAUUCGUGAGAAAAAAGCCACAUAAUAAAAUCUUAAGUGAGGAAUAUGAGGAAUAACAUUUAAGAAUUGUAGCUAAGAUUUACCCUUCUUUAUUUGUGUAAACAAAACACUGUUACUCCCUCUUUCUCCUCCCAUAGACAGACCCACGCCUCUCAGCCUCUCCUAAAAAGACUGGUAAGCUCUCUCUCUCAUCCAUCCUCUCUCUACAAAAGUUUAUAAAGUUAAAUAUCAGAUCUGAUUUUCUGUGUGUGCCGUUUUAAAGUAUGGAUUUUGGGAUUAUUUUUGAAGUCUUUGCAUAGUAAUAGCAAUAAAUGCCUUCUGAUUGAUUGCCCAACAAUUUCUGUACAUGAAUAGUAAUUAUUUGCUCUAUGGAUCCUUAAUAUUUUGUAGUGUUGUGUACGUGUAUGUGUUUAAUAUAUUGAGUUAUCAUGAAUUAGCAAAAACCUUGGUAUUUGGAGAUUGUAUUGUACGCUUUUUAAAAAAAAAAAAAUCUAUAUAAUAGUUUGUUCUUAUUUAUUUAUAAGGUGUUUGGAUAUAUAAUUUCACUAGCCGUGCACAGAUUAAUUAAAAUUCAUAUCUAAAAUAAGAUCAAUUCAUUUUAUUAAAAUUAUAAAUUGUGGGAGAUGAGCAAACCUAUUUAAAUAAAUAGGUUUAAUUUCUUUUCAGAUUUUCCAAACUUUUAAUAAUACAAUUUUCAUGUAAAUAGUAAUUUAAUCGUAUUGGAACUUUGGCAAUAGAGCUUUAUGUAAAUUUAAAUUAACUUAAUAAAUUUAAUCUGUUUAAAGUGUAGUGAGAGCAUAAGGGGAGGGUAUAUAACAUAUGAUAUUAUAAUCCUUGCAUUAUUCUAGGCCUCUUUCCUGAAAGUACUGAAUUAAUAAGUUUGUGGUAUGCACAGCUUUUUUCCUUAGGCCUUGUAUUGUUCACCUUUCUUAUUAUGUUGUUUGCACUGCUUGUUGUGGACAAGUCUUGUGGCUGUUUCAUUUUAAUUCAUUUGUUUUUUUGAUUGGUAAUUUACUCAUCUUCUGAAUGUUGCUUGCUUUUCAGAUGAGCUCUGUGCCAAUGCUGCAUACACGUCUUCUGAAUUUACAUCUACUUUUUUUUUUUUUUCUCGGUUGUUGUUCUUCUAAUUAAAAGUUCAUAUGUUGGUAUAUGGUAGGUUAUAAUGCUAGUGGUUCAAAUUCAGAUGAAUUGAAGGGUGAUUCUUAGCAAACCCUUUAGGCCUAUAAGUCCGAAACAAUCAAAUAUAUGGGAUUGGUGACAAAAAGAUAGCUUUUGUGGGACUACUUGAACUCAAAUAAUUUUUUGUAAAGUUUGGAAGCUAAGACAUCAUUUGUAUAUAAAUGGUUGUAAUUACUUUGUGAACAUCUUUAUUGCAUUUUUAGAUUGUAUGGAUGUUUUUUUUUUAUGGAUUUGGUUAGAAAUGAAUGGAUGUUUGUUUUUAUGGAUUUGGUUAGAAAUGAA